rnacentral:rRNA from 1 species
CCUACGGGGGGCAGCAGUGGGGAAUAUUGCACAAUGGGCGCAAGCCUGAUGCAGCCAUGCCGCGUGUGUGAAGAAGGCCUUCGGGUUGUAAAGCACUUUCAGCGGGGAGGAAGGCGUUAAGGUUAAUAACCUUGUCGAUUGACGUUACCCGCAGAAGAAGCACCGGCUAACUCCGUGCCAGCAGCCGCGGUAAUACGGAGGGUGCAAGCGUUAAUCGGAAUUACUGGGCGUAAAGCGCACGUAGGCGGUCUGUCAAGUCGGAUGUGAAAUCCCCGGGCUCAACCUGGGAACUGCAUUCGAAAAUGGCAGGCUAGAGUCUUGUAGAGGGGGGUAGAAUUCCAGGUGUAGCGGUGAAAUGCGUAGAGAUCUGGAGGAAUACCGGUGGCGAAGGCGGCCCCCUGGACAAAGGCUGACGCUCAGGUGCGAAAGCAUGGGGAGCAAACAGGAUUAGAUACCCUGGUAGUC